GGUGGUUCUUGGGUGACACACCCUGGAAUCGGGCUACCUUCUCUCUGAUUCUGGGUGCAUCACCCGAGAACCACA
rfam:Myotis davidii contig160897, whole genome shotgun sequence.